AGAUCAGAUUGCAAUCGAAACUUGAUUAGAAUGAAUCUCUACAAAUACACGAAGUGUUAUUGUAAUUCGUGAGACAUCUUUGGAGUCGAUUUUUGAGGCCAAAGCAAACAAAAGUUGAUAUACAAAAAUUAAAGAUAUUUCAAGAUUUUCGAACGAAGAAGAAGAAAAUUUUUUCCACGAAGAGAAAAAUCGAGCGAUCGAGAUCCGAAAAGUGCUCGAUGAAGAAAGAAAAAAUUUACACAUAGGCCCAAUGAAGAUUCCAUCGAAAAAGGAAGAUCAAUCGAUCGACUCAAUUGAGAAAUUAUCAUAUCUUAAUAAAUAUAAUAGAUCUCCUGAAACAUUCUCGAUAAAGAAUGUCUAUAUACUCGGAAAAAAAAAAAAAAAAAAAAAAAAUAGAAGGUGCACGGAAGAAUCCGUGGAACAGGGACCAGGCUCAGAAAAGGAGGAAAGGAAGAUGGAGGGUCAGGCGAAAAAGGAAGAGGCAGUCGAUCGAGGAUUAAGUAGUCGAGGUGAUCUCGCGCACUUAGGGCUACAAGGGAUAAAGCUCCGGCACUGUCAGUGGGCAGGGUGGGACGAAGGGUGGACCAACCGGUCCUCGAGGUUGCCUCGGCUUAUUCAGUCAACGAACUCUGCGGGCCUACGACGUGACACUGACCCCUCCAGGGUAAACGUCCCUGGCCGGUCGCUUUAUCAAUGUAAACGCGCCGAUCGCCGGUGGAAAUAAAUGGGAAAAAAGAGAAGGGGGAAGAAAAAAAAAAAGGAAAAGAAAAAAGAGAGGAAAGAAGGGAGAAAUAAGAAGAAAUAAGAGGAAGAAGUGGAAAAGGAAAGGAAAAAAAAGAGAGAGAAAGAAAAAGAAAAGGAAAGGCACGGUUGCGUCGUCGGAAGGCAAAGAGAAGUGGAUGGUUGUAACAUUAGCGAGACGCUGAAGACGAUGAUCCCUUCGGGGCGUGUUUCUUCCAACGGUAUACGUAUAAUGUAUAGGGUGGCUUGAAUGAACGCAUCUACUUAAGGAUGGACAAUUUUUGUAAUCAAUAUCCUUUGAUCUUGUAUCUUAUCUCUUGAAAUUAUUCGAUUAAUAAAAAAAAGGAUGCACUUAUGGAUUAGAUUUUCAUCUUUAAGGAAAACUUUUUCAAUCGAUGUUCUUUGAUCUUGUUCCAUUGGAUAUUUAUUGCAUCGACGAAAAUUGAGGUAUUCGAUGCGAGUGAACGAUAUGAACGAUCUAUAAUAAAGAGAAGAGAAUUUUAAAUUAUUCGAGGAAUACGUGGUAUUUUACAAUGAACGAAGUAACGAACGGAAUUCGAACUGAGUGGUAUUUUCAAUGGAUUUGUAUUUAUGAAUCACCUUGUGUGCACGGUGGUGAGUCCACGUUUAUGGGAGAGAGCUGAUAACGUUGCGAAUUUCCUCACGUUCUUUCGCGUGGUAAUUUGCGAUUUAGCCGGAAUGAGAAGAAGGGUUGGUGGAUUGUCGUGGAUUUUUAUCAGUUUGGAGAAUUUUUUGGAAAUACACUACACUUGCAUAACACUACGAGCGAUUAAAUUGAGAAAAGGCAGUUUUUAGAAAUUAUAUUGAAGGAAGAAGAAAAUAAUGGAUAUAAUAAGGGGGGAAAAAAAUGGAGGAAAAGGAGGAGAAAGGAAAGGUAGAAAAAUAUAUCGAACUUAG